rnacentral:rRNA from 1 species
AUUGAACGCUGGCGGCAUGCCUUACACAUGCAAGUCGAACGGCAGCACGGGGCAACCUGGUGGCGAGUGGCGAACGGGUGAGUAAUGCAUCGGAACGUACCUUUCAGUGGGGGAUAACGUAGCGAAAGUUACGCUAAUACCGCAUAUUCUGUGAGCAGGAAAGCAGGGGAUCGCAAGACCUUGCGCUGAUUGAGCGGCCGAUGUCAGAUUAGCUAGUUGGUGAGGUAAAGGCUCACCAAGGCGACGAUCUGUAGCGGGUCUGAGAGGAUGAUCCGCCACACUGGAACUGGUACACGGUCCGGACUCCUACGGGAGGCAGCAGUGGGGAAUUUUGGACAAUGGGGGCAACCCUGAUCCAGCAAUGCCGCGUGAGUGAAGAGGGCCUUCGGGUUGUAAAGCUCUUUCGGCCGGGAAGAAAUCGCACGGGCUAAUACCCUGUGUGGAUGACGGUACCGGAAUAAGAAGCACCGGCUAACUACGUGCCAGCAGCCGCGGUAAAAC